ACCUAAUAGAUACCCUGGUAGUCCACGCCCUAAACGAUGCGAACUGGAUGUUGGGUACAUUACGGUACUCAGUGUCGAAAGCUAAACGCGUUAAGUUCGCCGCCUGGGGAGUACGGUCGCAAGACUGAAACUCAAAGGAAUUGACGGGGCCCGCACAAGCGGUGGAGUAUGUGGUUUAAUUCGAUGCAACGCGAAGAACCUUACCUGGCCUUGACAUCUGUCGAAUCCUGCAGAGAUGCGGGAGUGCCGCAAGGAACGACAAGACAGGUGCUGCAUGGCUGUCGUCAGCUCGUGUCGUGAGAUGUUGGGUUAAGUCCCGCAACGAGCGCAACCCUUGUCCCUAGUUGCCAGCACAUCAUGGUGGGAACUCUAGGGAGACUGCCGGUGACAAACCCGGAGGAAGGUGGGGAUGACGUCAAGUCCUCAUGGCCCUUA
rnacentral:rRNA from 1 species